rnacentral:misc_RNA from 1 species
GAUGAAGAACGUAGCGAAAUACGAUACUUGGUGUGAAUUGCAGAAUCCCGUGAACCAUCGAGUCUUUGAACGCAAGUUGCGCCCGAAGCCAUUAGGCCGAGGGCACGCCUGCCUGGGCGUCACACGUCGUUGCCCCCCCAUCUACUCCUUCGGGAUUGCGGGGGGCGGAUGAUGGCCUCCCGUGCGCCUCGUCGCGCGGUUGGCAUAAAUACCAAGUCCUCGGCGACGCACGCCACGACAAUCGGUGGUUGCGAAACCUCGGUUGCCCGUCGUGUGCGGUCGUCGCGCAUCGAGGGCUCGAAAAAAUUGCCGGGCUCCGGCUCGGCUUUCAACGCGACCCCAGGUCAGGCGGGGUUACCCGCUGAAUUUAAGCAUAUCAAUAAGCGGAGGA